rnacentral:rRNA from 1 species
CCUAACACAUGCAAGUCGAGCGAGGACUUCGGUCCUAGCGGCGGACGGGUGAGUAACGCGUGGGAACGUGCCCCUUUCUACGGAAUAGCCCCGGGAAACUGGGAGUAAUACCGUAUAAGCCCUACGGGGGAAAGAUUUAUCGGGAAGGGAUCGGCCCGCGUUGGAUUAGGUAGUUGGUGGGGUAAUGGCCUACCAAGCCGACGAUCCAUAGCUGGUUUGAGAGGAUGAUCAGCCACACUGGGACUGAGACACGGCCCAGACUCCUACGGGAGGCAGCAGUGGGGAAUCUUUAGACCAAUGGGCGCAAGCCUGAUCUAGCCAUGCCGCGUGAGCGAUGAAGGCCUUAGGGUUGUAAAGCUCUUUCAGUGGGGAAGAUAAUGACUGUACCCACAGAAGAAGCCCCGGCUAACUCCGUG